rnacentral:rRNA from 1 species
GACGUAGGGCGCGAGCGUUGUCCGGAUUUAUUGGGCGUAAAGAGCUCGUAGGCGGCUUGUCGCGUCGUCUGUGAAAUCCCACGGCUCAACUGUGGGCUUGCAGUCGAUACGGGCAGACUAGAGUGUGGUAGGGGAGACUGGAAUUCCUGGUGUAGCGGUGAAAUGCGCAGAUAUCAGGAGGAACACCGGUGGCGAAGGCGGGUCUCUGGGCCACUACUGACGCUGAGGAGCGAAAGCGUGGGGAGCGAACAGG